rnacentral:lncRNA from 1 species
CACCACUAUUUGGCUGUCAAGGAACUUGGGCCCACAUGGAGCCCAGACAAUAGCCGCUUUGUUCUUUAUUAAAGGACCCUAAUUGCCUGAAGAAGAUGAAAAAAAUCCAGCUCUUCCCUUACGAAGCUCAUAAUUUAAUCGGUGAAAUGUCAGGGAAAAUCAAUGCCAGGCUGUUUCCUUGUGGCCUCAUUUGCCGUCCAUUAAACAUCUUUUAUGUUUUGUUUAUAGUUGCUUGUUUUUUUCCUCCUCUUAUUCCUCCCCUCCCCCACUCUUUGUAAUAAAAGAGCAUUUUAAAACUUAUGAUGUUAAAAAGGGACAUGGGCUGAGAAAUUGAGUUACGAGAAACCUAUGAGUUCUCCCUGGCAGGGCUGGGAAAUCCAGCCACCGCAAGGAGGAGAUGUUCCCACCGCAGACUUGGUGCGCCCGGGGUCAGCACAUUUGAGCAGUUUGCUGACGUGGAGGGUUUUCCUGGGGGCCUGUCAAGCACAGAGACUACCAAGAUGGAGAGGUUGCAGCCCUGGUCCUCAAGAACUUGCCUGCACAUGGAAAAAUAGAAGCUGAGAGGCAGCUGGUAAGAAAGGGGAAGGGAAGUUACACACUGGAGGCUGGCAUGGCCACUGGGAGUGCACAGGGCUAGAGGCCAGCCUAGCCUCCUUACAGCCACA